rnacentral:rRNA from 1 species
GUUUCCUUCCUCGAGAAGACAGAGAGAGGACGCACGCCACCUCCUCCCCACCUUCGCCAGAUACGACCGCCCAUUCAUCACCGCCACCCAUCGCGUCGCCCGCCCCCGCCCGCAACCUUCUCUCGUCUUCCACCCAUCCUCGCCGCGCCAUCGCACUCCCGCAAUCCUGUUAGCCUCUCUCCCUGACAUGGCUUCACUUCCCGGUGCGAAACCCUAGCGGCGGCAGCGGCGGCGGCGGCGGAUUGGUGUGGGAGGUGGUAGUGGAGACGGCGGCCUCAGGCAGGGGCAUACUAUAGGUGGCUCGACAGUCGCCUGGCAGGCUGUAUAGGCAGCGGAGGUGGAGGUCGUGCGAGGCGGCUCUUCCGCCGAUCCGUUCGUUCGAGUCCUUGGUUGCUGCGUUGACUUUCCUGGCUGCCGCCAUGCUAGCAAGCACGACCAUUGCGACGUCUUCUCUGGUGCUACCGGCAAGCAGCCGACCACAGCACUGCCAUGCCUCUGAUGCUCCAUGGUAGCCGGCCCUGCAUCUCCACUCAGGUGUCACCCUUUCUGUUACAGUUGGUUUUGCAGCCUGAUAUGUGGUUAAGAAGCUAUUGUGGAGAGGUGAAGUUAGCAGGGCUGAUGGUGGAAGCUUCCGGGUUUACUGGAGAUAUGGCAGAGUGUUACUCAAAGAAAUACACCUGGCUUGAAAUGGACUAUGGUAGAAGUGACAAGGAGACGAAGGAAGACUUUUGUUGUCAAUCAGAUAAAAGAGGCAAAGCUGGAGACUCCGAUAUUAGCAUGAUGAAGCAACAAAUGAUGGAAAUAGUGGAGAGGUUUGUGUGACAGUCCAAGGAAGUCUCUAGCAGAAUGCAGUUUUCUGGGACCAGCUUUUUAACCGUGGACUUUCCAUGGAAGAUGGAUACAUACAUCUGCCUUAUUCGGGCUAUGACGUUUUAAAAAGGAUCUCUAAUACUAUUUCAAAGGCAGACAGUGACGGAAAAACGGUGUUGCCGUUCACUCUCACCCUCCCAUGGAGAUGUCGCCGACAAUGCUGCCAUACAUGUCCCUGCAAUCGUCACCCCCAUCCUCAUGUCUAGAGGUGCUGGUAACUGCUAUUAUUGUUGGAACCAUUGGCUAUUUAUACAUAGAUGGAAGGUAAACAUUUAUCUCCCUGUCAACUUGCUCCGAGAGGAGAUGUCGAGGAUGACGAGCAAGUUGGCAUCCGUGAAGCUUCGCCGGAGCCAUUCCUACUCUUCUAGAGCCACAAGGAGAGCCUUGGCAGGCUGUACGAGUGGGAGAAGAAGCUCUAUGAGGAAGUCAGGAUGGUGCCCAUCGACACUGCUACCUUCCGAAGGUUGCCAUGCUAUGGAUUGACAACCAUGGGCGUGUUUCUUCCAUGCGCUGUAGAGCAGGUGGACGAGGAGAAGGGGCCAGCCCGAGCUGGACGACGGAGUGUCUUCGGAGGCGGAGGAGAGGACCAACAAUAGCAGCGACACGGUGGUGUCUAGCAGGAUCAAUAAGCUGACCCGCAGGGCUUGGCAAGGCCGUGAGACAUGGCCGCAGCAAUGGAGCACGUCUUUGGAAAAACGAACACGUCAGGCCAAUAAUAUAGACCUAUUAGCAUAUAUGCAUGAGACAGUACCGUGGCCUGCUCUGCUUUAUAAAUGAAAACUCUUCUGCUGCAGUUCUAUUUUACUCUCCGUACCUUAACUACAAUGUAACGUUCACAAGUACAUCAGCAUGACUGAUGCGCACAGUGACGCAGAGGAGGCGCGCCCAGGGCGCGCCCCAGCCACUAGUGCAUGUCACGGGUGCAUGCACGAACGCAUGCAGGCAUGGUCCUCGCCAACUGAGAUACUACCCGCUGGUGCUGCGUUGUAUAUGCUCAUACUCCUAUUUGGCAGCAACGAUCGAAU